CCCUGUUGUGUCAUUUCUGCUUAUUUAUUUGUUGCCUCAUACAACAGAAAGAUAGGAAGCCGAAAUCAUGAAACAAAGGUUGGUUUGGUUCACCUUCGGAUUCACAUCGGCUUUGGCAGCUCUGUUCGUCUUCAAAGAUCUUUGGUUAGAUCGCGAUUUGUUGAAGGAGAAGGUCGACACCAUGCACAUCAAAAUCUCCAAUCUCGAACCAGCAGUCCUCCGUCCAAAUAGUAGUAGUACAACUUUGAUUUCUCUGAAUGUUUCAGUUGGGAACCCCGCUAUCAGUCAUAUAGCUGGCUGAGGAGGAUGAAGGAGAAUUUGAAUUGAAGCCCCGGUUUUUCGAUUCGCAUCUCUAGAUAUAAAGUAGAAACUAUUUCAAUGCGGAAAAGUUUUUUUUUUUUUUUUUUAAAUCUUUCCUUGGAAUCAUAUGCUUAAGGCUUCAUGAAAGCCCCAUAGCUUGCGACGUUUUUCUUUACAAACUUUUAUUGUUUGGUACACUCCUACCCAGUUAUAGAUACUCUUUUUGAGGUCU